GUCCUCGUAGCUCAGUCGGAUAGAGCGCUGGAUUCCUAAUCCGGAGGCCGUAGGUUCAAUUCCUAUCGAGGACACCA
rnacentral:tRNA from 1 species